GGCACUAUGGCGGAGUGGUUAACGCGAGAGAUUCGAAUGGUCUGCAGAACCUGCAAAUCUUACGUAAUCUCUUCCUCUUUGAGGGCGCAGGUUCGAAUCCUGCUGGUGUCG